GUUAUACUCCCUUCGUCCGGAAAAGUUUGUCCCAAGCUUGUUUCUCAAAUGGAUGUAUCUAGCACUAACUUGCUGCUACAUAGAUCCAUUUGAGGGACAAGUUUUUUUGGACGGAGGGAGUAUUAU
rfam:Triticum aestivum genome assembly, contig: Triticum_aestivum_CS42_TGACv1_scaffold_485439_6AS